rnacentral:tRNA from 1 species
GCCCGGGUAGCUCAGCGUGGUAGAGCGCUGGGCUGUGGACCCAGUGGUCCCGGGUUCAAGUCCCGGUCCGGGCC